rnacentral:rRNA from 1 species
UACAGAGGUCUCAAGCGUUGUCCGGAAUCAUUGGGCGUAAAGAGCGUGUAGGCGGCCCGAUAAGUCCGCUGUGAAAGUCCAGGGCUCAACCCUGGGAUGCCGGUGGAUACUGUCGGGCUCGAGUCCGGAAGAGGAGUGUGGAAUUCCUGGUGUAGCGGUGAAAUGCGCAGAUAUCAGGAGGAACACCAAUGGCGAAGGCAGCACUCUGGGACGUGACUGACGCUGAGACGCGAAAGCGUGGGGAGCAAACAGG